ACUUAAAUAGUUCAAGAUAAGAAUAUAAUAUUGAAGAUAUUAAGAUAAUAAUUAUGUAUUUUUAAGUA
rnacentral:tRNA from 1 species